AAACAAAAAAGUGAGACUUCGAAUUUUAUGCGAAUGCUAUUGAACAAUUAAUACUAAACAUUGUCUCAUUAUCGUCAAUAAAUACAAUGUUGGAUUACUUAAAAAACUGUGCUUACAAAGAGCUUAGAAGCACUCUCACAAAAGUAAACAAUAACAUCUGUUUUCAAAUCACUGAAGAUCUAAUUUCCAUUGUAUAAACGGUCAAGAAAGGUACAA